rnacentral:rRNA from 1 species
GAUGAACGCUGGCGGCGUGCUUAACACAUGCAAGUCGAACGGAAAGGCCCAAGCUUGCUUGGGUACUCGAGUGGCGAACGGGUGAGUAACACGUGGGUGAUCUGCCCUGCACUUCGGGAUAAGCCUGGGAAACUGGGUCUAAUACCGGAUAGGACCACUUCUUGGAUGUUGUGGUGGAAAGUUUUUUCGGUGUGGGAUGAGCUCGCGGGCUAUCCGCUUGUUGGUGGGGUAAUGGCCUACCAAGGCGUCGACGGGUAGCCGGCCUGUGAGAGUGUACGACCACAUUGGGACUGAGAGACGGCCGAGACUGCGACGGGUGGCAGCAGUGGGGAAUAUUGCACAAGGGGCGCAGGCCGGAUGCAGCGACGCCGCGUGGGGGAUGACGGCCUUCGGGUUGUAAACCCCAUGCGCUAGGGACGAAGCGUUUUGUGACGGUACCUGGAGAAGAAGCACCGGCUAACUACGUG